rnacentral:lncRNA from 1 species
GGGACAUGGAGGGAGACAGAGGCAGAGAUGGGGGAGAGAGGCAGAGAGACAGAGACGAGAGGAGGAGGACACAGAGAGACAGGGAGAAUGACAGAGACAGAGACACAGAGAGAGACACAGGUGAGAGAGGCAGAGAGACAGAGACGAGAGGAGGAGGACACAGAGAUAGAGGGAUACAGAGACAGGGAGAUGAGAGAGGCAGAGAGACAGAGACAAGAAGAGGAGGACACAGAGAUAGAGGGAUACAGAGACAGGGAGAUGAGAGAGGCAGAGAGACAGAGACAAGAAGAGGAGGACACAGAGAUAGAGGGAUACAGAGACAGGGAGAUGAGAGAGCCAGAGACACAGAGAGAGACACAGGUGAGAGAGGCAGAGAGACAGAGACAAGAAGAGGAGGACACAGAGAUAGAGGGAUACAGAGACAGGGAGAUGAGAGAGGCAGAGAGACAAAGACAAGAAGAGGAGGACACAGAGAUAGAGGGAUACAGAGACAGGGAGAUGACAGAGACAGAGACACAGAGAGAGACACAGAUGAGAGAGGCAGAGAGACAGAGACAAGAAGAGGAGGACACAGAGAUAGAGGGAUACAGAGACAGGGAGAUGACAGAGACAGAGACAGAGAGAGACACAGAUGAAAGAGGCAGAGAGACAGAGACGAGAGGAGGAGGACACAGAGAUAGACAGGGAGAUGACAGAGACAGAGAGACACAGAGACACAGAUGAAAUAGGCAGAGAGAAAGAGACGAGAGGAGGAGGACACAGAGAUAGAGAGAGACAGAGACAGGGAGAUGACAGAGACAGAGACAGAGAGAGACACAGAUGAGAGAGGCAGAGAGACAGAGACGAGAGGAGGAGGACACAGAGAUAGACAGGGAGAUGACAGAGACUUAGAAAGGGGGAUGACAGAGACAGAAACACAGAGAGAGACAGAGAUGAGAGGAGGAGGACACAGAGAUAGAUAGGGAGAUGAUAGAGACAGAGAGAGACAGGGGAAUGAGAGAGACAGAGACAGAGAUGAGAGGAGGAGGACACAGAGACAGAGAGAGACAGGGAGAUGAUGGAAACAGAAAGAGAAACACAGAGAGCAGACAGAGGAAGAGAGACAGAGGGACAGAGAUAAGAGAGGAAGACAGAGAAAGAGAGACACAGAUGGGAAGAUGAGAGACAGA